rnacentral:rRNA from 1 species
GAUGAACGCUGGCGGCGUGCUUAACACAUGCAAGUCGAACGAAGCACUUUAUUACGAUUUCUUCGGAAUGACGAUUUAGUGACUGAGUGGCGGACGGGUGAGUAACGCGUGGGUAACCUGCCUUAUACAGGGGGAUAACAGUUAGAAAUGACUGCUAAUACCGCAUAAGCGCACAGGACCGCAUGGUCCGGUGUGAAAAAACUCCGGUGGUGUGAGAUGGACCCGCGUUUGAUUAGCUAGUUGGUGGGUAACGGCCGUACCAAGGCGACGAUCAAUAGCCGACCUGAGAGGGUGAAACGGCCACAUUGGGACUGAGACACGGCCCAAACUCCUACGGGAGGCAGCAGUGGGGAAUAUUGCACAAUGGGGGGAAACCCUGAUGCAGCGACGCCGCGUGAGUGAUGAAGUAUUUCGG